rnacentral:rRNA from 1 species
CCUACGGGAGACAGCAGUGGGGAAUAUUGCACAAUGGGGGAAACCCUGAUGCAGCAACGCCGCGUGAGUGAAGAAGUAUUUCGGUAUGUAAAGCUCUAUCAGCAGGGAAGAAGAAAGACGGUACCUGACUAAGCAGCCCCGGCUAACUACGUGCCAGCAGCCGCGGUAAUACGUAGGGGGCAAGCGUUAUCCGGAUUUACUGGGUGUAAAGGGAGCGUAGACGGCGGUGCAAGUCUGAAGUGAAAGCCCGUGGCUCAACCGCGGAACUGCUUUGGAAACUGUAUAGCUUGAGUACUGGAGAGGCAAGCGGAAUUCCUAGGGUAGCGGUGAAAUGCGUAGAUAUUAGGAGGAACACCAGGGGCGAAGGCGGAUUGCUAGACUGUAACUGACACUGAGGCACGAAAGCGUGGGGAGCAAACAGGAGUAGAUACCCUAGUAGUC